rnacentral:rRNA from 1 species
ACGUAGGGGGCGAGCGUUGUCCGGAAUCAUUGGGCGUAAAGAGCUCGUAGGCGGUUCAGUAAGUCAGGUGUGAAAGCUCCGAGCUCAACUCGGAGAGGCCACCUGAUACUGCUGUGACUAGAAUCCAGUAGGGGAGUGUGGAACUCCUGGUGUAGCGGUGAAAUGCGCAGAUAUCAGGAAGAACACCAGCGGCGAAGGCGGCACUCUGGGCUGGUAUUGACGCUGAGGUGCGAAAGCUAGGGGAGCAAACGGGA